GGGGGGGAAGGGGUCGAUACAUUGUUUUGAUUUAUGUUUUUUUUUUGUAAUUUUGAGAAGAAAUGUAGGGCUAUUGAGAUCAUAACAAAAUUAAAACUGGUUCUUUUCAUUUGUUUCUUUGUCUAGUAUAAACAUUAAAUGAGGUUCUUCGCGAUACAUGUAUUAUCAAUUCUUCUUCGUUCAGGCCCGUACACUCCAAAGAGAGUCAAACUGUAAACAAGCAUCAUACGGUUUUUAUAUAUCAAAAUUAUCGGACAAAAAGCAAAAGCGGAC
rnacentral:lncRNA from 1 species